rnacentral:rRNA from 1 species
GGUUAAAAAGCUCGUAGUUGGAUUUCUGUCAGCGAGUGGCGCUCCGCCCCUUGUGGUGAGUAGUCGUCAUGCCGCCGGCAUCUUUCUGGGGAGCGUGUCUGCACUUCAUUGUGUGGUGCGCAAGCCAGAACUUUUACUUUGAGGAAAUGAGAGUGUUUCAAGCAGGCAAUCGCCGUGAAUACGUUAGCAUGGAAUAAUAGCAUCGGACCUCGUCCCAAAGCUGUUGGUUCCUUGGGAUGAGGUAAAGGUGAAUAGGGAUUGUUGGGGGCAUUCGUAUUACACUGUCAGAGGUGAAAUUCUUGGAUUUGUGUAAGACGGACUACUGCGAAAGCAUCUGCCAAAGAUGUUCUCAUUGAUCAAGAACGAAAGUUGGGGGAUCGAAGACGAUCAGAUACCGUCGUAGUCUCAACUAUAAACUAUACCAGCUAGGGAUCGGCCGACGUUUACUUAUAUCGACUCGGUCGGCACCUUAUGAGAAAUCCAAAGCAUCUGGGUUCCGGGGGGAGUAUGGUCGCAAGGCUGAAACUUAAAGGAAUUGACGGAAGGGCACCACCAGCCGUGGAGCCUG